rnacentral:rRNA from 1 species
UACGUAGGGCGCAAGCGUUGUCCGGAAUUAUUGGGCGUAAAGAGCUCGUAGGCGGCCUGUUGCGUCCGCUGUGAAAUCCCGGGGCUCAACCCCGGGCGUGCAGUGGAUACGGGCUGGCUGGAGGCAGGCAGGGGAGAAUGGAAUUCCCGGUGUAGCGGUGAAAUGCGUAGAGAUGUGGAGGAACACCAGUGGCGAAGGCGACUCUUUGGCCUGUAACUGACGCUGAGGCGCGAAAGCGUGGGGAGCAAACAGG